rnacentral:rRNA from 1 species
UUGGAGGGCAAGUCUGGUGCCAGCAGCCGCGGUAAUUCCAGCUCCAAUAGCGUAUAUUAAAGUUGUUGCAGUUAAAAAGCUCGUAGUUGAACUUCGGGGUCUACCCAUUGGUCAGGCUUAAUUGUCUGUACUGGUGAGAUGGAUCUCUACCUUCUGAGGAACUUUCAUGCCAUUUAUUUGGUGUGAUGGGAAAUCAGGACUGUUACUUUGAAAAAAUUAGAGUGUUUAAAGCAGACUAUCGUCUGAAUACAUCAGCAUGGAAUAAUGAAAUAGGACGGACUGAUUCUAUUUCGUUGGUUUCUAGGAUCACCGUAAUGAUUAAUAGGGAUAGUUGGGGGCAUUAGUAUUCAAUUGUCAGAGGUGAAAUUCUUGGAUUUAUUGAAGACUAACUACUGCGAAAGCAUUUGCCAAGGAUGUUUUCAUUAAUCAAGAACGAAAGUUAGGGGAUCGAAGACGAUCAGAUACCGUCGUAGUCUUAACCAUAAACUAUGCCGACUAGGGAUCGGACGAAGUUAAUUUUAUAAUGACGCGUUCGGCGCCUUACGGGAAAC